rnacentral:lncRNA from 1 species
UCCAAGACAGCACUUUAUGUUGCUAGCAACACCAAUGAAUGGCUUUCCAAGGUGAUUGGACCUGAGAUUGAGACAAUUGAUAUCAAUGUCUGGGGAUUUCGCUUCCAACUCCAGCUUCCCACUGACCUCAAGAAGCUUAGGGUACUGAACUUGGGUAUGGGGUUUAGACUGUCGCUAGAAAACUUCCCCCACAUAUUUGCAGCUUCCCUAGUCUGAAGACGUUGCAGCUUUGUCACAUCCACUGGGGGGCAUCAGACACCCCAGCUUCAACUGUGAGACCUGUUACACCAGAAAGCUUUAUAUGAAAUGGUGAGACCUGUUACAUGUGGAAGCAGUCUGAGAUAUAUCUAGAAAAUAAGGUUUUAAGAACCGUCUAUUGCUGUCUAUUGGCAAACUUGGCCCUUCUCUUUUCCAAAUACCCAAAUUCCGAAGACUGGUAGUGAAAACUUGUGAUUCAAAACUGGGUUAGUUGAGUUAAACGGUACAAACUGAGAAAACUACUGCUAUGAACUUUGAUACAAAAAGUAUAUUUGAUACAAGCUACUAUGUAUGACAGACUUCAAAUAGGCCUCUGGUUUGGUCUUCGUCAGAAGUUGCGUUAUACAUCAGCAAUUCGAAAAACUCAGAUUACAUCCACAAACUCCUCCCGACUUCACGAAAGCACGCUUCGGCUUUGCUACUCAUCGACAGCACAAGCAGACACAUUUCUGCCCCAAACCAAUGGCUCAAAUAGUAACAGUUCCUUUCUUUAACCUUUUCUCGGCCAGGGGAUGGAGCUCACUCAUCUGCAUCUUCCAACUCAUCUGGCACGUGAAGCAUCUCAAUGGCAGCCUAAAAAACCACAAUUUCAUGAUGGUUAAGUGGCUCAGAUGUUAUGGUACCAUUCAUUUCCUUGAAAACAUUUAACUUCACAAAAUCCAAAUACCUUGAUUAUAGCCACAUCAGUGGAGGAUAUUAGCCUUUUGAUACAUUGGAAGAGGGUUCUUUCUAUCUGCCAAUAUUGCCCUGUCCAUCAUCUCUAAUGCUUCUUCAUUUCUCUGCAACCGGAAACAGGCAUAUGCAUAUUACAGACGACUAAAACCGGCUUACCAACAGCCAAUUAUUCAACAGCUGGCAUCUCACCUUCAACGCAUGUAACGCAGUGCCGAGAUAUGACAUUAUAACCGAUGAACGUGGAUUGAUUUGGAAAGCCAUUCUGAAGUGGU